AAAAGCCUUAUGAUGGGAAACUACCACGUUAGGUUUGGAGAGAGAUGGUGGGACUGUAGCCAGGGAUCAUCAACAAACCUUAGCUACUAGUUGGAUCCUUGGAGAAGCUUUCAAACGACGU
rfam:Oryza punctata chromosome 4, whole genome shotgun sequence.